CAUACAGAGAUUUACCUCACCUUGCUGCAAUCAGUGUUGGGGCUGAUGGGGUAGGGGAUGUUGACACCGCAUUUGUUGGGGAGGGCGGCGACGAGACCAUAUUUGAGGCCGAGGCUAGGGUUGGCCAGAGACUUGAGGCAGGUACAGGCAGUCUGGCGGUCAGUAGUCGUCCUAGCUGCAUUAGCAAGGCCCUUGACCCCGGAGCAGCAUCCCGGCGGCGGGAUGGUCCCAACACCUCUAGCGUAGGGGAGGCAGGGGGAGAGGGCCGAGACAACCUGGCCGCAAGUAAUCGCCGAGGUGGUACCGAUGAGGAGGGCGAGGAGGAGGAAGGCACAGAGAGCAGAAGAGCGAGCCAUGGAGGUAGAGUUGUGGGGAGAACGGGGCUGAAGG
rnacentral:misc_RNA from 1 species